rnacentral:misc_RNA from 1 species
GCAAGCAAUCAAGCACUAGAACUUCCAAUGUUGCUCAGAAGAUACACAAAUAAGUGUAGCCCAGUAUUCCAAACUGAUAUUGGAAGUUCUUCCUUCCAUAGAGUUCUUGCUAGCAACAAUCUGUAGCCUGGGACCACUGGUUUACGGGUCUGAACGGUACUCAGGACAAGGGCAACACUUGCGGCGAAAAAGUCCAAAAGUGUCCUGGGGUUAGUGAAACGAGUAUGCAGCCAUUCUGCUAUCAAUAUUUUUGAUGUUAUUGUAAUGUGAGCUCGACAUCCAUAAAACUAGUUAGCAGUUUUGCUUGGCUGGAAGUGAAUUCCAUCAAUUUUUUGCUGGUGGAGCGGUAUGAGCACUGAUAUUUGUUUACUUCUUUGCCUCUGUUUUUCCUGUGAUGGGAAGUUUGUUGAUCCUUUUAGUGAAUUGGGUAUAAAAAUGCUCAAGAAGUUGGAGAGGCUGAGGAUCUUGUUCACCUUCUUCCUUUUGCAUCACUAUUUGUGCUUGAGGCCAUAAGGGUAUAGUUUGCCAGUAACCUUCGUUAACAACCUGCUUGGUCUUGUAGAAAGGGAGAAUGUUGAAUCUUGAUGAGAGGGAAAAUGGGGAAUAACUAUCGCGUCACAAAAGGUUCAACAUGAGGUUUCGUCUCUGUAUUUCUAAGGGGGGACACAAGGUAAAUUGGAGAGUGAAGCAGCCAUCGAGAAACGUAAUUUUGUUGAAUGCUUCGUGCAAAUCAUCAAUUGAACCUUCAGAGUGGCAUUUCUUUGCAUCGGUGGCCGCUUGAACCACGUUGAUGUACAAAGCAUUAAUGGGUACUCACUAUGCCGAACAAAACGAUUGUAACCUUGAGCUUUUCCAUUUCCUGGAGCUCUGGUUUGCCAUGAUGACGAGGACCAAUGGAGACCUCCAAGGGAUUGUAGCAUUCAGAGUUGGAUUUGAUCUCUGGAAACAUUACACGUGUAGAACUCGCUAAAUCUUGGCCUGUUGCCCUCGGUUGUUUCCUUCUUGUCUUCAUUAUGGAACUUAACCACUCGUUAUUAGCAUCUGAAGAAGGUGAACUCGCUUCAUUUUCUAUUACAAUGCUUAUUGUUUCAGUCACUGGCAGUGCUGGAUCUAAUAUUCAAAAUGUGACGGUAUAUAUGAAGAUCACGUUCUGAACUGACUAUGAACAGCUCUUUCAAGCCUAAGUUGAGAUG